GAAACGAACUCUAAGACUGGAUAGGAAAUAAAAAGGCAUCUUUUUAUUUUUAAAAGACCUUUUUCGGAAGGUAUGCUUAAAGAGGGGCUUGCGUCACAUUAGUUAGUUGGCAGGGUAAAGGCCUACCAAGACUAUGAUGUGUAGCUGGACUGAGAGGUUGAACAGCCACAUUGGGACUGAGACACGGCCCAAACUCUACGGGAGGCAGCAGUAGGGAAUUUUCGGCAAUGGAGGAAACUCUGACCGAGCAACGCCGCGUGAACGAUGAAGUAUUUCGGUAUGUAAAGUUCUUUUAUUGAAGAAGAAAAAUAGUGGAAAAACUAUCUUGACGAUAUUCAAUGAAUAAGCCCCGGCAAACUAUGUGCCAGCAGCCGCGGUAAUACAUAGGGGGCGAGCGUUAUCCGGAAUUAUUGGGCGUAAAGGGUGCGUAGGCGGUUUAAUAAGUCUAUAGUUUAAUUUCAGUGCUUAACACUGUCCUGCUAUAGAAACUAUUAGACUAGAGUGAGAUAGAGGCAAGUGGAAUUCCAUGUGUAGCGGUAAAAUGCGUAAAUAUAUGGAGGAACACCAGAGGCGUAGGCGGCUUGCUGGGUCUUUACUGACGCUGAGGCACGAAAGCGUGGGGAGCAAACAGGAUUAGAUACCCUGGUAGUCCACGCCGUAAACGAUGAGUACUAAGUGUCGGGAUUACUCGGUACUGAAGUUAACACAUUAAGUACUCCGCCUGAGUAGUACGUACGCAAGUAUGAAACUUAAAGGAAUUGACGGGACUCCGCACAAGCGGUGGAUCAUGUUGUUUAAUUCGAAGAUACACGAAAAACCUUACCAGGUCUUGACAUACUCUGCAAAGCUAUAGCAAUAUAGUGGAGGUUAUCAGAGAUACAGGUGGUGCAUGGUUGUCGUCAGCUCGUGUCGUGAGAUGUUAGGUUAAGUCCUAAAACGAGCGCAACCCUUGUCAUUAGUUGCCAGCAUGUCAUGAUGGGCACUUUAAUGAGACUGCCAAUGAAAAAUUGGAGGAAGGUGAGGAUCACGUCAAAUCAUCAUGCCCCUUAUGAUCUGGGCUACAAACGUGAUACAAUGGCUGUUACAAAGAGUAGCUGAAACGCAAGUUUAUAGCCAAUCUCAUAAAAGCAGUCUCAGUUCGGAUUGAAGUCUGCAACUCGACUUCAUGAAGUUGGAAUCGCUAGUAAUCGCGAAUCAGCAUGUCGCGGUGAAAUACGUUCUCGGGGUUUGUACACACCGUGCGUC
rnacentral:rRNA from 1 species